rnacentral:rRNA from 1 species
UACGUAGGGGGCCAGCGUUGUCCGGAAUCAUUGGGCGUAAAGCGCGCGUAGGCGGUCAGGUAAGUCCGGUGUGAAAGUCAAAGGCUCAACCUUUGAAUGCCGCUGGAUACUGCUUGACUUGAGUCCGGAAGGGGCGAGUGGAAUUCCUGGUGUAGCGGCGAAAUGCGCAGAUAUCAGGAGGAACACCAAUGGCGAAGGCAGCUCGCUGGAACGGUACUGACGCUGAGGCGCGAAAGCGUGGGGAGCGAACAGG